rnacentral:rRNA from 1 species
GACGAACGCUGGCGGCGUGCUUAACACAUGCAAGUCGAACGGAAAGGCCCCUUUGGUGGUACUCGAGUGGCGAACGGGUGAGUAACACGUGAGUAACCUGCCCUUGACUUCGGGAUAACUUCAGGAAACUGGGGCUAAUACCGGAUAGGAAUCCUUGCUGCAUGGUGGGGGUUGGAAAGCUUCGGCGGGUUUGGAUGGACUCGCGGCUUAUCAGCUUGUUGGUGGGGUAGUGGCUUACCAAGGCUUUGACGGGUAGCCGGCCUGAGAGGGCGACCGGCCACAUUGGGACCGAGAGACGGCCCAGACUCCGACGGGAGGCAGAAGGGGGGAAUAUUGCACGAGGGGCGGAAGCCUGAUGCAGCAACGCCGCGGGCGGGAUGACGGUCUUAGGGUUGUAAACCGAUUUCAGCAGGGGCGAAGCUUGUGGUGACGGUACCUGAAGAAGAAGCACCGGCUAACUACGUG